AUUGAACGCUGGCGGCAUGCCUUACACAUGCAAGUCGAACGGCAGCACGGGUGCUUGCACCUGGUGGCGAGUGGCGAACGGGUGAGUAAUAUAUCGGAACGUACCUUAUUGUGGGGGAUAACGCAGCGAAAGCUGUGCUAAUACCGCAUAAUCCCUAAGGGGGAAAGCGGGGGACCGUAAGGCCUCGCGCAAUUAGAGCGGCCGAUACCUGAUUAGCUAGUUGGUGAGGUAAAGGCCCACCAAGGCAACGAUCAGUAGCUGGUCUGAGAGGACGAUCAGCCACACUGGGACUGAGACACGGCCCAGACUCCUACAGGAGGCAGCAGUGGGGAAUUUUGGACAAUGGGGGCAACCCUGAUCCAGCAAUGCCGCGUGAGUGAAGAAGGCCUUCGGGUUGUAAAGCUCUUUUGUCAGGGAAGAAACAGCAGCUCUAACACAGUAUGCGAAUGACGGUACCUGAAGAAUAAGCACCGGCUAACUACGUGCCAGCCGCCGCCGUAA
rnacentral:rRNA from 1 species